AAACAGGAACGGUUGAGAGGCAGCAUGUUAGGCUGCCACGGACCAUGUCAACAUCAGUUCUAAGAAUGGAUCAUCCUGCAGGGGUCAUAAAAGAAGAGGAAGGCGAGUAAAAACCUGCUUAAAAGAGGAACAGCGAAACGGAGCCGAUCAUAUGAUGCAGGGCAACUUCUGGUGGCAGUGUGGAGAAACGAAGCCCAGAGUACCUUUGGCACAAACUGGAGAAACACAGGGGAAAGACAGACCUGAUUGAGUAAAGGAUGUGGGAUGGCAGCAGACAAACCUGGCCAGGAGGGAAACAAGUACCACAACACAACCCUGAACAUACCUGAUUUCAUCUGAUGAUUUGGAAGACAAACCCCAGAGAACUGUUGCCAGGUAGUGAAGAUGACAGAUGGCAUACGAGGACUCAAGGCAGCAAAAAUGUGGCCAAGAAUGAUCCAUCCAUAGAAGGCAUGCCAAGGUUUCAGCAAAUCAGAAAAAGGACUUCGUUGAACAGAAAACCAAUACAGAAUGAGACAAAACCACAUCUGAAUCCAUAUUUUGACUGUAUGGCUUAGUCUUCUUUUUAAUUUUUGAAGGUCUUUGUUAAUGGUCUGAUCAGAGCCAGAUUCUGAUGAAUAAAAUGUAAUGGGGAGGAGGGAGGGAGGAUAGAAAAGAUCAUUGUGCAUAAUGUCAAACAGUUGGAUAAGAGAGCUGGAGAAAGCAGGCUUUGUUCAGUCUGAUGUCAAAUUGGCUGUAUCUCCUAGUCCUUGAAAUUAUCUAAUUGCAGAAUAUUUUUAGUUCCAUGUCUGGGCUAGGAAUCUUUAACCCAAUGUCUCCCUUCUAGUUUUAAAAUCUGUCUGUUAUAAUUGAAAAGUCAAUACGAUGAAAAUGCCGUUGUUUGAUUCAGAGAGUGUCUUUAAUAAAAGCAUUUGCAGGGUUAAA